rnacentral:rRNA from 1 species
GGGAAUAUUGGACAAUGGGCGAAAGCCUGAUCCAGCCAUGCCGCGUGAGUGAUGAAGGCCCUAGGGUUGUAAAGCUCUUUUGUGCGGGAAGAUAAUGACGGUACCGCAAGAAUAAGCCCCGGCUAACUUCGUGCCAGCAGCCGCGGUAAUACGAAGGGGGCUAGCGUUGCUCGGAAUCACUGGGCGUAAAGGGUGCGUAGGCGGGUUUCUAAGUCAGAGGUGAAAGCCUGGAGCUCAACUCCAGAACUGCCUUUGAUACUGGAAGUCUUGAGUUCGGGAGAGGUGAGUGGAACUGCGAGUGUAGAGGUGAAAUUCGUAGAUAUUCGCAAGAACACCAGUGCCGAAGGCGGCUCACUGGCCCGAUACUGACGCUGAGGCACGAAAGCGUGGGGAGCAAACA